rnacentral:rRNA from 1 species
CACGUAGGGCGCAAGCGUUGUCCGGAAUUAUUGGGCGUAAAGAGCUCGUAGGCGGUCUGUUGCGUCCGCUGUGAAAACUCGGGGCUUAACCCCGAGCCUGCAGUGGAUACGGGCAGACUAGAGGUAGGUAGGGGAGAAUGGAAUUCCCGGUGUAGCGGUGAAAUGCGUAGAUAUCUGGAGGAACACCGGUGGCGAAGGCGGCAUCCUGGACCGGCAUUGACGCUGAGGCGCGAAAGCCAGGGGAGCAAACGGGG